rnacentral:rRNA from 1 species
AAGAAAAUGGCCCAAAAAGGGGGAAGGAAAGGACGGUCUAUU